rnacentral:rRNA from 1 species
GACGAACGCUGGCGGCGUGCUUAACACAUGCAAGUCGAACGGAAAGGCCCCUUUGGGGGUACUCGAGUGGUGAACGGGUGAGUAACACGUGAGUAACCUGCCCUUGACUUCGGGAUAACUUCAGGAAACUGGGGCUAAUACCGGAUAGGAAUCCUUGCUGCAUGGUGGGGGUUGGAAAGCUUCGGCGGUUUUGGAUGGAUUCGCGGCUUAUCAGCUUGUUGGUGGGGUAGUGGCUUACCAAGGCGUUGUCGGGUAGCCGGCCUGCGAGGGCGACCGGCGACAUUGGGACUUAGAGACGGCCCAGACUCCUACGGGAGGCAGCAGUGGGGAAUAUUGCACAAUGGGCGGAAGCCUGAUGCAGCAACGCCGCGUGCGGGAUGACUGCCUUCGGGUUGUAAACCGCUUUCAGCAGGGGCGAAGCUUGUGUUGACGGUACCUGCAGAAGAAGCACCGGCUAACUACGUG